GUGGGUGUGACUCAGUGGUAAAGCACAUGUUUAGUGUGCCCGAGGACCUGGGACCAAUCCCCAGCACCCAAA
rnacentral:tRNA from 1 species